AUGAUUGCAGGGAUUUUUCUGGUGCAGACGGCUUCAGUUUGGUUUUCUUCAGCAUGUGUAGCCUUGGGUGAAGGUAAAAUGACCAGACGUCCCAGUUUACCAGGACAAGUGUGUGUCCCGGUGCCCCACUGAUUCACUAAAACAUAUGAACGACCGUCAUGGUUGGAGUUUGAAGAGAAUCUUUCCACCCGAGUAACAUCACGUCCAGUUUAAAGUCACAGAUAUUUGAAGCAGAUAUCCAGGCAUCUACAGCCCAUGAAAACAAACACAUCAAUAGAAUGCAACUGAGAAAAGGCCCAUGUUUACUCCAGAUUACAGCCCUCAAAGAUCUGCAUCAGAGCACCUGUGAUGUGGAUAAUGAGUGUGUAGAACACCAAACACGAGUGUGAGGGCCAGAUAAAGGAUGAAUUAUAGAUACGGCGCUCCAGGGCAAAACACUGCUGCGGGGGGAGAGAUGGAGAAUCUGGAGGAGCGUUCCUGGAUAAUGAAUCCCACAGGCUGCAUGAGAUCAGGAGGAGAGCAGCACUAGAAGGGGAGCGUGUUUUGUGGAGUGAUGGAGAAUUCCCAGGUAAUUGCAGUCAAGAUGCUGUGACUUGGAGGAGGACGUGUGUUUGGAUCCCGGGAUACUCGAACUUUUCCUCUCAGUGUAUUUCAUUUUAUCACAC
ensembl:lncRNA